rnacentral:rRNA from 1 species
UACAGAGGUCUCAAGCGUUGUUCGGAUUCAUUGGGCGUAAAGGGUGCGUAGGCGGCGCGGUAAGUCGGGUGUGAAAUCUCGGAGCUUAACUCCGAAGCUGCAUUCGAUACUGCCGUGCUUGAGGACUGGAGAGGAGACUGGAAUUUACAGUGUAGCGGUGAAAUGCGUAGAUAUCGUAAGGAAGACCAGUGGCGAAGGCGGGUCUCUGGACAGUUCCUGACGCUGAGGCACGAAGGUCAGGGGAGCAAACGGG